CUAUAAAAUUCUGUCUCUCACACUUUAAUGUCCCAAACUCUUAUGGCAGCCUAUGUCCCAUCAUCUCCAUAUAUUUCCCUUUUCUUUUCUCCUUUAUUACCCUUCUUUCUUUUUCCCUCUUUCCCUUCAAACGCUGUUCCUCCAUUGUUUAGGGUUUCAUGUCCUCCACUCAUCAUCAUGCUGCCUCUUCCAGGUUUUUGAGACAACCCAUGUCCAAAAAAGUGUGUAAUGAAGGAUAUAUUGCAUGAAGAGAUGGAGAGAGAGAGCUUCCCUCAGCCCACUCAUGGAAGGACUCAAAGGGGUUGCUGAACUAACUGCCGACUCAUUCACUCAAACACUCAGUACUAUUCUUUCCUCUCUAGCUACUGUGACUGCGUGAAUGAAGCGGGAGAUAUUUUGCACUCUCUCUUUUUCUUUGCUUGGACUGAAGGGAGCUCCUCCUUUCCUACUUCUCCAUAUAAAACUCUCACCCCAAUUCAACUCUCGUCUUCUUUGCCCUACCCGACCCUGAUGAGUUCGGGACGACUUUUUGAGAGGGUGAACUCACCUUGUUAGCCCUAGUCGACCCUAAUGAGCUCAGGACGGCUUUUGGGACAAUCAACUGACCUUGUUUGUCCUAGUCGACCCUGAUGAGUUCAAGACGACUUUUGGGACAAUCAACUGACCUUGUUUGUCCUAGUCAACCCUGAUGAGCUCGGGACGACUUUUUGGGAGGGUGAACUCACCUUGUUUGCCAUAGUCGACCCUCAUGAGUUCAAGACGACUUUUGGGAAGGUGAACUGACCUUGUUAGCCCUAGUCGACCCUGAUGAGCUCGGGACGACUUUUUGGGAGGAUGAACUCACCUUGUUAGCCUUAGUCGACCCUGAUGAGUUCAAGACGACUUUUGGGACAAUCAACCGACCUUGUUUGCCCUAGUCGACCCUGAUGAGCUCGGGACGACUUUUGGGACAAUCAACUUACCUUGUUUGCCCUAGUCGACCUUGAUGAGCUCAGAACGACUUUAGGGAGGAUGAACUGACCUUGUUUGCCUUAGUCGACCCUGAUGAGCUCAGGACGGCUUUUGGGACAAUCAACUGACCUUGUUUAUCCUAGUCGACCCUGAUGAGAUCGAGACGACUUUAGGGAGGAUGAACUGACCUUAUUUACCCUAAUCAAUAAGUUCGAGAUACUUUUCGAUGUUGGACAUUGAAAUAUUCGAGAUCUGUCCAGACGUUCAGAUUUUCUUGGAUUGAAAUGAUUUAAUAAUGGUAUGAUUUAGAACAAUGUCCACAAAUGUAGAGGCAAGGCUUUCACAGCUAUCAGCAAACCCUGUCCCCAAAAAGGUAACUUUUUGGUACCCCAUCUCUCACCAUUCACUUUGAUAACGGGUUGGCUCGGUUCGGUUCGGUUCAAUUCGGUUCCAUUUUCAUUAGAAACUUGUUCAUAUGCUCCAUUUGUUGAAGUAAAUGGUUAGAAAAGUUAAGGCCUCUGAAAUCUGCAUCAAAAAACAACAAAAUCAAGACAUGCAAAGAGGUUAAAAUUAUGCAAUUUCAACACAAUUUAGUAAAUAAAAAAUAAAAAUGAAGGAAGAAGUGGACAAUUGGAAAUA